CCGACGGGUAUGCUUAGUACGGCGAGUGAGCGGCAAAAGCUCAAAUUUGAAAUCUGGCGUCUUCGACGUCCGAGUUGUAAUUUGAAGAAGGCGACUUUGUAGCUGGUCCUUGUCUAUGUUCCUUGGAACAGGACGUCAUAGAGGGUGAGAAUCCCGUGUGGCGAGGAUCCCAGUUAUUUGUAAAGUGCUUUCGACGAGUCGAGUUGUUUGGGAAUGCAGCUCUAAGUGGGUGGUAAAUUCCAUCUAAAGCUAAAUAUUGGCGAGAGACCGAUAGCGAACAAGUACAGUGAUGGAAAGAUGAAAAGAACUUUGAAAAGAGAGUGAAAAAGUACGUGAAAUUGUUGAAAGGGAAGGGCAUUUGAUCAGACAUGGCGUUUGCUUCGGCUUUCGCUGGGCCAGCAUCAGUUUUAGCGGUUGGAUAAAUCCUCGGGAAUGUGGCUCUGCUUCGGUAGAGUGUUAUAGCCCGUGGGAAUACAGCCAGCUGGGACUGAGGAUUGCGACUUUUGUCAAGGAUGCUGGCGUAAUGGUUAAAUGCCGCCCGUCUUGAACCACGGACCCA
rnacentral:rRNA from 1 species